GAGUUUGAUCGUGGCUCAGAUUGAACGCUGGCGGCAUGCCUUACACGUGCAAGUCGAACGGCAGCAUGAUCUAGCUUGCUAGAUUGAUGGCGAGUGGCGAACGGGUGAGUAAUACAUCGGAACGUGCCCUGUAGUGGGGGAUAACUAGUCGAAAGAUUAGCUAAUACCGCAUACGACCUGAGGGUGAAAGUGGGGGACCGCAAGGCCUCAUGCUAUAGGAGCGGCCGAUGUCUGAUUAGCUAGUUGGUGGGGUAAAGGCCCACCAAGGCGACGAUCAGUAGCUGGUCUGAGAGGACGAUCAGCCACACUGGGACUGAGACACGGCCCAGACGUCCUACGGGAGGCAGCAGUGGGGAAUUUUGGACAAUGGGCGAAAGCCUGAUCCAGCAAUGCCGCGUGUGUG
rnacentral:rRNA from 1 species